rnacentral:misc_RNA from 1 species
UGGUUCUGGCAUCGAUGAAGAACGCAGCGAAAUGCGAUAAGUAAUGUGAAUUGCAGAAUUCAGUGAAUCAUCGAAUCUUUGAACGCACAUUGCACCCUCUGGUAUUCCGGGGGGUAUGCCUGUUCGAGCGUCAUUGCAACCCUCAAGCACUGCUUGGCAUUGGAUGCUACCUCUGGUACACCUAAAAAAUAUUGGCAGUGGCAUUCAGCUUCUAGUGUAGUAAUUUUCUCGCUUAGGAGUUGUGAAUGUCCAACUGCCAGAACCCUCCAAUUUAUCACAAGGUUGACCUCGGAUCAGGUAGGGAUACCCGCUGA